GAAGUUUAACUCAGAGGGUUGUAGCUGGCUCCUCCAAGAGCAUGUGCACGCCCUUUGUCUUUACUCUUUUCCACCUGUGCACCUUUUGUAGACCAUGAAGUGAACUCUCGAGAGCGUUGGCAACGACGUGAUCGGUUUGGGGAUUUGCGUUCAGCUUUCCCUGUAGCUCGUGGUUUAUGUCUUAUAAACUCUAUAGUCUGUUUUGAAUGUCUUAUGGGUUUUGCGCUGUAAUGGUGCGACCUUUAUAAACUAUACAACUUUUAGCAACGGAUCUCUUGGCUCU
rnacentral:misc_RNA from 1 species